rnacentral:sRNA from 1 species
UAGGCCGGGGUCUCACAGCGACUGCGCGGACGGGUUCCUGAGUGGAACAUGGCGACUUGCGCCGAAAUCCUGCGGAGCGAGUUCCCCGAAAUUGACGGACAAGUCUUCGACUACGUGACCGGCGUCUUGCACAGCGGCAGCGCGGACUUCGAGUCUGUGGAUGACCUGGUGGAAGCUGUAGGGGAACUAUUGCAAGAGGUGUCCGGGGACAGCAAGGAUGACGCGGGCAUCAGGGCCGUGUGCCAGCGCAUGUACAACACUCUGCGUCUGUAUGUGCCAGGGAGUAGGAGUUGAUGGGGGCGAAGGGACGGCGAACGGUCCGGAGACAAGAGGUGGGGGAAGAAGAUCUGAUGGCCAUAGAGCUUUUCCCUUAACUCCUAACUGUGCGCUUUCUAUCCCUACCCACAUAGGGCUGAGCCACAAAGCCAGGGAAAUAGCCAGGUGCUACUGGACGCCCCUAUCCAGUUGUCAAAGAUAACGGAGAACUACGGUGAGAGUGAGGGGAGGUUGAACUAACUGCCCCCCUGUGCUUUUCUCCGCCCCCAACCAUCUGCUGCCUGCAGCUUAGGGCUCCUACGUCUUUUCCACAGGACAAGGUUGUAGGAGCUAGUUGAUGUCUUUACCGAGGGCAGAAAAGCCCAUGAUGGGGGUGGGGAGGAGG